rnacentral:rRNA from 1 species
UACAGAGGUCCCAAGCGUUGUUCGGAUUCACUGGGCGUAAAGGGUGCGUAGGCGGUCUGUUGCGUCCGCUGUGAAAACUCGGGGCUUAACCCCGAGCCUGCAGUGGAUACGGGCAGACUAGAGGUAGGUAGGGGAGAAUGGAAUUCCCGGUGUAGCGGUGAAAUGCGCAGAUAUCGGGAGGAACACCGGUGGCGAAGGCGGUUCUCUGGGCCUUACCUGACGCUGAGGAGCGAAAGCGUGGGGAGCGAACAGG